rnacentral:misc_RNA from 1 species
GAUAUCCCAAACCCUCUAUACAAUCCCCUCGGUCCAUCCGUGCGGACAAUUUUCCUAAACGCAUCAAUCCCAUUAGCAUAUUUACAAGUUGACGCAUUAGGAACGGAAUUUAAACCACCUCCCUGAACCAUAAGCCUUUGGCUCACAACAUCAAUUGGGGUCCAAACAAGUUGAGCUGCCAUGGCUGCACUCAGCCCAGCAGCAGCAUUGGCAAUCGCUCCUGCCGCCGCCUCUGGAAACCCUAAUUGGAUAGUGGCAGUCCCCACGUUACUCUUGGUAACCUCAAGCGCUGCCAUGUACAGUGCUCUAGCAGGGAUUGUACCCGUCAAGGAGGUCCCAAAUCCUCGAUACAAAGCCCUAAAACCCUCAUGCCUGACAAUCCCAAAAGCUGUCUUCAUGCACGAAACCUGAGAUUGGGCAACCUGUUGCCUGGUUUUUAAAACAACCACAGGAUAAAGAGUAGCCGAUACACCUGAAAAGAGCGCAGCACCAAGGAAGAAGAAUUUCGAUUUAUCAAGCAUUUCCCAAUCAAUAUCGGCAGGAAUAUGAAUUUCUUGCUCCGAUUCAUCCUCAGCCGCGCUCAAAUUCAUCUUUGCCACUUUCCCAAUAUUCACAAAAACAAAAAGAAAAUCCCUCGUCCCAAACUGUACAAAAUUCGGAAAACAAACUAUGCAAAAACAAAAAGUUUCCGCUAUAUGAUACAAACUACAAAGAUUUCUAACAUACAAAACAAAAUGUAUCAAAUUGAUUAGGGAAAAGUGCUUUCUUUUUUCCUCCUGUGGAACCAAAGUUUGGAUCGAAGGCGAAAUAAAACAAAUGGAUCUAACAUUGAUGAUGAUUCUCGAUUGGCCUUACCGGAGAUUGAAUCAUCGCCGUCGUCGGCGAUUGGAAACCCUCAGCCGGAAGUUCGGAUCUCUGCAGGUUCUACAAAGGGAUUGUAGAACACAUAUUUACAUGAAAUGAAAGAGCUAAAAGAGAGAGGAGGCGAGAGUUGUGG